AUUGAACGCUGGCGGCAGGCCUAACACAUGCAAGUCGAGCGGAUGAAGGGAGCUUGCUCCUGGAUUCAGCGGCGGACGGGUGAGUAAUGCCUAGGAAUCUGCCUGGUAGUGGGGGAUAACGUCCGGAAACGGGCGCUAAUACCGCAUACGUCCUGAGGGAGAAAGUGGGGGAUCUUCGGACCUCACGCUAUCAGAUGAGCCUAGGUCGGAUUAGCUCGUUGGUGGGGUAAAGGCCUACCAAGGCGACGAUCCGUAACUGGUCUGAGAGGGUGAUCAGUCACACUGGAACUGAGACACGGUCCAGACUCUUCUGGGAGGCAGAAGUGGGGAAUAUUUGACACUAGGCGAAAGCCUGAGCCAGCGACGCCGCGCGUGUGAAGAAGGUCUCCGGAUAGUAAAGCACUUUAAGUUGGGAGGAAGGGCAGUAAGUUAAUACCUUGCUGUUUUGACGUUACCAACAGAAUAAGCACCGGCUAACUUCGUG
rnacentral:rRNA from 1 species